GACGAACGCUGGCGGCGUGCUUAACACAUGCAAGUCGAACGGUGAAAGCGGAGCUUGCUCCGCUGGAUCAGUGGCGAACGGGUGAGUAACACGUGGGCAACCUGCCCCUCACUUCGGGAUAACUCCGGGAAACCGGGGCUAAUACCGGAUAUGACCUCCUUGGGCAUUCUUGGAGGUGGAAAGAUUUCCGGUGAGGGAUGGGCCCGCGGCCUAUCAGCUUGUUGGUGAGGUAGUGGCUCACCAAGGCGACGACGGGUAGCCGGCCUGAGAGGGCGACCGGCCACACUGGGACUGAGACACGGCCCAGACUCCUACGGGAGGCAGCAGUGGGGAAUAUUGCGCAAUGGGCGAAAGCCUGACGCAGCAACGCCGCGUGCGGGAUGACGGCCUUCGGGUUGUAAACCGCUUUCAGCAGGGAAGAAGCCGCAAGGUGACGGUACCUGCAGAAGAAGCACCGGCUAACUACGUGCCAGCCGCCGCAGUAA
rnacentral:rRNA from 1 species